rnacentral:misc_RNA from 1 species
GAUCAUUAAAGAGUUCUAUAACUCCCAAACCCAUGUGAACAUACCUUACGUUGCCUCGGCAGGUCACGCCUACCCCGUAGCGUCCUACCCUGUAGGACCUACCCGGUAGACGUGGGUAAGCCUGCCGGCGGCCCACGAAACUCUGUUUAGUAUUGAAUUCUGAACCUAUAACUAAAUAAGUUAAAACUUUCAACAACGGAUCUCUUGGUUCUGGCAUCGAUGAAGAACGCAGCGAAAUGCGAUAAGUAAUGUGAAUUGCAGAAUUCAGUGAAUCAUCGAAUCUUUGAACGCACAUUGCGCCCAUUAGUAUUCUAGUGGGCAUGCCUGUUCGAGCGUCAUUUCAACCCUUAAGCCUCUGUUGCUUAGUGUUGGGAGCCUACGGUAAUAGUAGCUCCUGAAAGUUAGUGGCGGAGUCGGUUCACACUCUAGACGUAGUAGAUUUUAUCUCGCCUAUCAGUUGGACCGGUCCCUGCCGUAAAACCCCCUAAUUUCUAAAGGUUGACCUCGGAUCAGGUAGGAAUACCCGCUGAACUUAAGCAUAUCAAUAAGCGGAGGAAAAGAAACCAACAGGGAUUGCCCUAGUAACGGCGAGUGAAGCGGCAACAGCUCAAAUUUGAAAUCUGGCCCUCGGGUCCGAGUUGUAAUUUGUAGAGGAUGCUUUCGGCGCGGUGCCUUCCGAGUUCCCUGGAACGGGACGCCUUAGAGGGUGAGAGCCCCGUACGGUUGGACACCAAGCCUCUGUAAAGCUCCUUCGACGAGUCGAGUAGUUUGGGAAUGCUGCUCUAAAUGGGAGGUAAAUUUCUUCUAAAGCUAAAUAUUGGCCAGAGACCGAUAGCGCACAAGUAGAGUGAUCGAAAGAUGAAAAGCACUUUGAAAAGAGGGUUAAAUAGCACGUGAAAUUGUUGAAAGGGAAGCGUUUGCGACCAGACCUUUUCCUAGCGGAUCAUCCGGUGUUCUCACCGGUGCACUUCGCUAGGUUUAGGCCAGCAUCGGUUUCUGUAGGGGGAUAAAAGCUCUGGGAACGUAGCUCCUUCGGGAGUGUUAUAGCCCUCUGCAUAAUACCCUUACGGGGACCGAGGACCGC